CGCAAGCCUGAUGCAGCCAUGCCGCGUGUAUGAAGAAGGCCUUCGGGUUGUAAAGACUUUCAGCAGUGAGGAAGGUGGGUAUGGUUAAUAGCAUAUUCAUUUGACGUUAGCUGCAGAAGAAGCACCGGCUAACUCCGUGCCAGCAGCCGCGGUAAUACGGAGGGUGCGAGCGUUAAUCGGAAUUACUGGGCGUAAAGCGCAUGCAGGUGGUUUGUUAAGUCAGAUGUGAAAGCCCGGGGCUCAACCUCGGAAUUGCAUUUGAAACUGGCAAACUAGAGUACUGUAGAGGGGGUAGAAUUUCAGGUGUAGCGGUGAAAUGCGUAGAGAUCUGAAGGAAUACCGGUGGCGAAGGCGGCCCCCUGGACAGAUACUGACACUCAGAUGCGAAAGCGUGGGGAGCAAACAGGAUUAGAUACCCUGGUAG
rnacentral:rRNA from 1 species